rnacentral:rRNA from 1 species
CACUCCUGCGGGAGGCAGCAGUGGGGAAUUUUGGACCAUGGGCGAAAGCCUGAUCCAGCAAUGCCGCGUGCAGGAUGAAGGCCUUCGGGUUGUAAACUGCUUUUGUACGGAACGAAAAAGCUCCUUCUAAUACAGGGGGCCCAUGACGGUACCGUAAGAAUAAGCACCGGCUAACUACGUGCCAGCAGCCGCGGUAAUACGUAGGGUGCGAGCGUUAAUCGGAAUUACUGGGCGUAAAGCGUGCGCAGGCGGUUAUGUAAGACAGAUGUGAAAUCCCCGGGCUCAACCUGGGAACUGCAUUUGUGACUGCAUGGCUAGAGUACGGUAGAGGGGGAUGGAAUUCCGCGUGUAGCAGUGAAAUGCGUAGAUAUGCGGAGGAACACCGAUGGCGAAGGCAAUCCCCUGGACCUGUACUGACGCUCAUGCACGAAAGCGUGGGGAGCAAACAGGAUUAGAUACCCCAGUAGUCCCAUG